GGGCAGUUAGCUCAGUUGGCUAGAGCGUAUCGUUGACGUCGAUAAGGUCACUGGUUCGAAUCCAGUACUGCCCACCA
rnacentral:tRNA from 1 species